UAACAGGAAGCAGCUUGCUGCUUCGCUGACGAGUGGCGGUACGGGUGAGUAAUGUCUGGGAAACUGCCUGAUGGAGGGGGAUAACUACUGGAAACGGUAGCUAAUACCGCAUAACGUCGCAAGACCAAAGAGGGGGACCUUCGGGCCUCUUGCCAUCGGAUGUGCCCAGAUGGGAUUAGCUAGUAGGUGGGGUAACGGCUCACCUAGGCGACGAUCCCUAGCUGGUCUGAGAGGAUGACCAGCCACACUGGAACUGAGACACGGUCCAGACUCCUACGGGAGGCAGCAGUGGGGAAUAUUGCACAAUGGGCGCAAGCCUGAUGCAGCCAUGCCGCGUGUAUGAAGAAGGCCUUCGGGUUGUAAAGUACUUUCAGCGGGGAGGAAGGGAGUAAAGUUAAUACCUUUGCUCAUUGACGUUACCCGCAGAAGAAGCACCGGCUAACUCCGUGCCAGCAGCCGCGGUAAUACGGAGGGUGCAAGCGUUAAUCGGAAUUACUGGGCGUAAAGCGCACGCAGGCGGUUUGUUAAGUCAGAUGUGAAAUCCCCGGGCUCAACCUGGGAACUGCAUCUGAUACUGGCAAGCUUGAGUCUCGUAGAGGGGGGUAGAAUUCCAGGUGUAGCGGUGA
rnacentral:rRNA from 1 species